AGGAAAUAGCUGGUUCUCCCCGAAAUAUAUUUAGGUAUAGCCUUGUUGGAUUCAUCGUAGUGGUAGAGCCACAGUUGGAGUUUUAGGGGCGCAAGCUUACUAGAUUCUUACUAACUCCGAAUGCUGCGAUGUUUGAAAACAGGAGACAGACUGCGAGGGCUAAGCUUCGUAGUCGAGAGGAAAACAGUCCAGACCAUCAGCUAAGGUCCCUAAAUGUCCGUUAAGUGGUAAAAGAAGUAAAAACGCAAUGACAGCCAGGAGGUUGGCUUAGAAGCAGCCAUCCUUUAAAGAAAGCGUAAUAGCUCACUGGUCAAGUAUUUUUGCGCUGAAGAACGAACGGGGCUAAACGGACUACCGAAGCUAUGGUCUAGAACAACUACGGUUGUUCUAGAGGUAGGGGAGCGUUCCUUGAUAGAUACAAGUUUGACCGUAAGGACAGAUUAUGAGAUCAAGGAAGUGAGCAUGUUGGUAUAAGUAACGAAAAAACAGAUGAAAUUUCUGUUCGCCGCAAGUCUAAGGUUUCCGUGAGAAAGGUUCAUCCACUCAGGGUUAGUCGAUACCUAAGCCGAGGCCAAUUGGAGUAGGCGAUGGAAAAGCAGGUUAAAUAUUCCUGCACCAC
rnacentral:rRNA from 1 species